GCGGUUUGUCGCGUCUGCUGUGAAAGCCCGGGGCUUACCCCGUGGUGUGCAGUGGGUACGGGCAGACUAGAGUGCAGUAGGGGAGACUGGAAUUCCUGGUGUAGCGGUGAAAUGCGCAGAUAUCAGGAGGAACACCGAUGGCGAAGGCAGGUCUCUGGGCUGUUACUGACGCUGAGGAGCGAAAGCAUGGGGAGCGAACAGGAUUAGAUACCCUGGUAGUCCAUGCCGUAAACGUUGGGCACUAGGUGUGGGGGACAUUCCACGUUUUCCGCGCCGUAGCUAACGCAUUAAGUGCCCCGCCUGGGGAGUACGGCCGCAAGGCUAAAACUCAAAGGAAUUGACGGGGGCCCGCACAAGCGGCGGAGCAUGCGGAUUAAUUCGAUGCAACGCGAAGAACCUUACCAAGGCUUGACAUACACCAGACCGGCCCAGAGAUGGGUUUUCCUCUUUGAGGUUGGUGUACAGGUGGUGCAUGGUUGUCGUCAGCUCGUGUCGUGAGAUGUUGGGUUAAGUCCCGCAACGAGCGCAACCCUCGUUCUAUGUUGCCAGCACGUGAUGGUGGGGACUCAUAGGAGACUGCCGGGGUCAACUCGGAGGAAGGUGGGGAUGACGUCAAAUCAUCAUGCCCCUUAUGUCUUGGGCUUCACGCAUGCUACAAUGGCCGGUACAAUGGGUUGCGAUACCGUGAGGUGGAGCUAAUCCCAAAAAGCUGGUCUCAGUUCGGAUCGUGGUCUGCAACUCGACCA
rnacentral:rRNA from 1 species